UGCAGUAGAUGUCGGCAGGAGAGAUGCUCAGGAGUCUCGUGGGCUGGGAGAUGUGUAUAAGAAUGAGCCUAGAGCUGCACUCGAAACUGUCCGACUCGAGUUCCGGAGGGGUAAGCGGAAUUUCAGGUGUAGCAGUGAAAUGCGUAGAUAUCUGGAAGAACACCGAAAGCGAAGGCAGCUUACUGGAAGGGGACUGACGCUCAGGCACGAAAGCGUGGGGAGCGAAAGGGAUUAGAUACCCCUGUAGUCCACGCUGUAAACGUUGUACACUAGGUUUUGGGGCAUUCGAUCGUUUCAGAACCCAAGCUAACGCGAUAAGUGUACCGCCUGAGGACUACGGCCGCAAGGCUAAAACUUAAAGGAAUUGACGGGGACCCGCACAAGCGGUGGAGCAUGUGGCUUAAUUCGAUGAAACGCGAAGAACCUUACCUAGGCUUGACAUGUAGUGGGAGGCUGAUGAAAGUUGGCCGUCCUUCGGGACUGCUACACAGGUGCUGCAUGGCUGUCGUCAGCUCGUGUCGUGAGAUGUUCGGUUAAGUCCGACAACGAGCGCAACCCUCAUUCUUAGUUGCCAGCGGGUAAAGCCGGGGACUCUAAGGAGACGAACUCGAUAUAGAGUGGGAAGGUGGGGAUGACGUCAGGUCAGCAUGGCCCUUACGUCUAGGGCUGCACACGUGCUACAAUGCUCGGUACAAAGGGAGGCGAGACCGCGAGGUGGAGCGAAUCCCCAAAGCCGGGCCCAGUUCGGAUUGAAGUCUGCAAUUCGACUUCAUGAAGCCGGAAUCGCUAGUAAUGGUAUAUCAGCUACGGUACCGUGAAUACGUUCCCGGGUCUUGUACACACCGCCCGUCAAGUCAUGAAAGCCGGUCUCACCCAAAGUAUGUGAAGCCAACCGCGAGGGGGCAGCAUCCUAAGGAGAGGUUGGUGAUUGGGACUAAGUCGUAACAAGGUAGCCCUAGGGGAACCUGGGGCUG
rnacentral:rRNA from 1 species